GAGUAGUGACAAGAAAUAACAAUACAGGGCUUAAAGUCUUGUAAUUGGAAUGAUGGGAAUCUAAACCCUUCCCAGAGUAUCAAUUGGAGGGCAAGUCUGGUGCCAGCAGCCGCGGUAAUUCCAGCUCCAAUAGCGUAUAUUAAAGUUGUUGCAGUUAAGAAGCUCGUAGUUGAAUUUCUGCCUUGUCAUUAAUCUCGCUUCCGAGCGUUUUUUUAUUGACUUGGCAUCUUCUGGAUUUGGUGCCUUCGGGUACUAUUUUCCAGGAUUUACUUUGAGAAAACUAGAGUGUUUCAAACAGGCAUUCGCCUUGAAUACUACAGCAUGGAAUAAUGAAGUAGGACUUUGGUUCUAUUUUGUUGGUUAUUGAGCCAGAGUA
rnacentral:rRNA from 1 species